GUAGGGGUUAGGGGUGGCAGACAGAAUCCUGGGCUUGAUGUCUGUCAGUCAGUAUCUCCACAGCCUGGGAUCUCUGUCUACAGACUAUUUUCUGCCCAGCAGACUUUAAUUUCCCAGUCCUCCUCAGUUUAACACAUUGCAUGCCGCGGACUCACUCGGAAUGGCAGCAGCAGGACACCACCAUUAAGGAGUCUGAUGAUGAAGAUGCGAUUAUUAUUACGAGCAGCUGUCAUCGCUCCGUCAAGCGGCAGAUCGCCAGCAGGGAUAAAACACAACAUCAGCUCCGCCGAGCCCCCGGCCAAAGUGUGGAAGUGGUG